rnacentral:rRNA from 1 species
UAAUACAGAGGGCUCAAGCGUUAAUCGGAAUCACUGGGCUUAAAGGGUGUGUAGGCGGGCUCGCAAGUGUCGAGUGAAAUCCCAGGGCUUAACCCUGGAAUGGUUUGGCAAACUGCGAGUCUUGAGAUCGGUAGGGGUUGCCGGAACUCUAGGUGGAGCGGUGAAAUGCGUAGAUAUCUAGAGGAACGCCAAAGGCGAAGGCAGGCAACUGGGCCGAUUCUGACGCUGAGGCACGAAAGGGUGGGUAGCGAACGGGAUUAGAUACCCCGGUAGUCCACCCCGUAAACGAUGUGUACUAGACCCGGGAGGUUCUGACACCAUCCGGGUCGAAGCUAAAGUGCUAAGUACACCGCCUGGGGAGUACGGUCGCAAGGCUA